AGGACGAACGCUGGCGGCGUGCUUAACACAUGCAAGUCGAGCGGAAAGGCCCUUCGGGGUACUCGAGCGGCGAACGGGUGAGUAACACGUGAGUAAUCUGCCCCUAGCUCUGGGAUAGCUCCGGGAAACCGGGAUUAAUACCAGAUACGACCACUUUAGACAUCUGUUGUGGUGGAAAGAAUUUUGGCUAGGGAUGAGCUCGCGGCCUAUCAGCUUGUUGGUGAGGUAACGGCUCACCAAGGCGACGACGGGUAGCCGGCCUGAGAGGGCGACCGGCCACACUGGGACUGAGACACGGCCCAGACUCCUACGGGAGGCAGCAGUGGGGAAUAUUGCGCAAUGGGCGAAAGCCUGACGCAGCGACGCCGCGUGGGGGAUGAAGGCCUUCGGGUUGUAAACCCCUUUCAGCAGGGACGAAGCGAAAGUGACGGUACCUGCAGAAGAAGCGCCGGCUAACUACGUGCCAGCAGCCGCGA
rnacentral:rRNA from 1 species